rnacentral:rRNA from 1 species
UACGGAGGGUGCAAGCGUUAUCCGGAUUUACUGGGUUUAAAGGGUGCGUAGGUGGGUUGGUAAGUCAGUGGUGAAAUACUUUCGCUUAACGAAGGAACUGCCAUUGAUACUACCAGUCUUGAAUACAGUGGAGGUAGGCGGAAUGCGUCAUGUAGCGGUGAAAUGCUUAGAUAUGACGCAGAACACCAAUUGCGAAGGCAGCUUGCUACACUGUUAUUGACACUGAGGCACAAAAGCGUGGGGAUCAAACAGG